rnacentral:rRNA from 1 species
UCGGGAAUUUUGGGCAAUGGGCGAAAGCCUGACCCAGCAACGCCGCGUGAAGGAUGAAGUAUUUCGGUAUGUAAACUUCGAAAGAAUAGGAAGAAUAAAUGACGGUACUAUUUAUAAGGUCCGGCUAACUACGUGCCAGCAGCCGCGGUAAUACGUAGGGACCAAGCGUUGUUCGGAUUUACUGGGCGUAAAGGGCGCGUAGGCGGCAAUUCAAGUCAUCUGUGAAAUCUCCGGGCUUAACUCGGAACGGUCAGAUGAUACUGCUUUGCUAGAGUGCAGAAGGGGCAAUCGGAAUUCUUGGUGUAGCGGUGAAAUGCGUAGAUAUCAAGAGGAACACCUGAGGUGAAGACGGGUUGCUGGGCUGACACUGACGCUGAGGCGCGAAAGCCAGGGGAGCAAACGGGAUUAGAUACCCUAGUAGUCCCUGAG